rnacentral:RNase_P_RNA from 1 species
UAAGUAGGGCAGAUGAUCGCGCCUGUUUUUUCGCAGGUGAGGAAAGUCCGGGCUUCACAGGGCAGGAUGCCGGAUAACAUCCGGUGGAGGCGACUCCAAGGACAGUGCAACAGAAAUAUACCGCCAAUUCAUAUUGGUAAGGGUGGAAGGGCAGUGUAAGAGACUACCGCCUUUCUGGCAACAGAGAGGGCAUAUGUAAACCCCAUUCGAAGCAAGACCAGACAAAAGCGUUGACGUGGCCCGCGAGCUUUAGGUAGGUUGCUAGAGGCGGCUGGCGACAGCCGUCCCAGAUAGAUGAUCAUUCACGACAUAACCCGGCUUACAGCCCUGCUUAUAAU